GAUGAACGCUGGCGGCGUGCCUAAUACAUGCAAGUCGAGCGAACAGACGAGGAGCUUGCUCCUCUGACGUUAGCGGCGGACGGGUGAGUAAAACGUGGAUAACCUACCUAUAAGACUGGGCUAACUUCGGGAAACCGGAGCUAAUACCGGAUAAUAUAUUGAACCGCAUGGUUCAAUAGUUAAAGACGGUUUUGCUGUCACUUAUAGAUGGAUCCGCGCCGCAUUAGCUAGUUGGUAAGGUAACGGCUUACCAAGGCAACGAUGCGUAGCCGACCUGAGAGGGUGAUCGGCCACACUGGAACUGAGACACGGUCCAGACUCCUACGGGAGGCAGCAGUAGGGAAUCUUCCGCAAUGGGCGAAAGCUUGACGGAGCAACGCCGCGUGAGUGAUGAAGGUCUUCGGAUCGUAAAACUCUGUUAUUAGGGAAGAACAAAUGUGUAAGUAACUAUGCACGUCUUGACGGUACCUAAUCAGAAAGCCACGGCUAACUACGUG
rnacentral:rRNA from 1 species